rnacentral:sRNA from 1 species
CGACCUGUUGCGGACAAAUAAAAUGAAUGUGCGCGUCGAUGCCACCGGCAGUGACGAUCUGACCUUCACCAGCGAUGGCCUCGGUGCCGGGGCCAAUAAUAAUAUUAAUCCCCGGCUGCACAUCCGGAUUACCGGCCUUACCAAUACCGACGAUGCGACCGUUUUUGAUACCGAUGUCGGCCUUCACAAUGCCCCAGUGAUCCAGGAUCAGGGCAUUGGUAAUCACCGUGUCCACCACAUCUUUUGACGUCAGCUGACUCUGACCCAUGCCGUCAC